rnacentral:lncRNA from 1 species
ACCAUGAGCAUGGUAGAUGAGUGGAGUAUGGUAGAAGUAAAGGGUGAGUGCUAAGCUAGCCACUAAAGAGAGGGUGUUGUACACUCUUGUGUAAUAUUGUUGUGCUGUAAUAAAGUUCUUUUUCUUACAAGUGUUAGUCUCCAGUUGGGCCAUAUAGUUUCUAAGUACUUAGUGCAUUAGUUGUGAUCCAUCGAAGGUUGGCUCUAUCACCCGAGAUCACAAGGGUCUGGACUUCAUCGUAGGUUGGCUCUGCCACUCGGAAGUUAGCUUCAUCUGUUGGUAGGCUCUGCUACCCGGAAGUGAGAAGGCGGCUCUGCCAUCGAAAGGACCUGUCGCACUAAGUUAGAAAUUAAAAGGGCUGAACGACUCUAGAGUGAGUUGGUGUUCUAAGUGUAUAUCCUCAGAUUUGUGGGUAUUAGGGACACCUCAAUCUCCAACAUAUAUACAUGCUUCAAAUACAGGAGAAAAUAGCACAUGCCGCGCCUCCCUUCUAGCUGAGGAUUUAGUCAAAG